rnacentral:rRNA from 1 species
UUGAACGCUGGCGGCAUGCCUUACACAUGCAAGUCGAACGGCAGCGCGGGAGCAAUCCUGGCGGCGAGUGGCGAACGGGUGAGUAAUAUAUCGGAACGUACCCUGGAGUGGGGGAUAACGUAGCGAAAGUUACGCUAAUACCGCAUACGAUCUACGGAUGAAAGUGGGGGACCGCAAGGCCUCACGCUCGUGGAGCGGCCGAUAUCUGAUUAGCUGGUUGGCGGGGUAAAAGCCCACCAAGGCGACGAUCAGUAGCUGGUCUGAGAGGACGACCAGCCACACUGGGACUGAGACAUGGCCCAGACUCCUACGGGAGGCAGCAGUGGGGAAUUUUGGACAAUGGGCGCAAGCCUGAUCCAGCAAUGCCGCGUGUGUGAAGAAUGCCUUCGGGUUGUAAAGCACUUUUGGCGGGAACGAAACGGCUCUGGAUAAUACCUGGGGCUAAUGACGGUACCCGCAGAAUAAGCACCGGCUAACUACGU